rnacentral:ncRNA from 14 species
CAGAAUUGAGUGUGUACAGGUGUCCGCUACGUCGGAAUAAUAGGAAAGUUGAGUUAAAAGCUCACACGGUCGCGCCGCUGUGAGGGAAGAGCUGCAUUUUAUGAUGUCACUGGGAAACUGGGAAGGCAAAAUGUGGUGAUGAGGCCCGAGUCAGAAGACCUGCCUGUCACAAGCGAUUUACA